AUGAAGGACACUUCUCAGCUCCUGGGGCUUCUGCUGCUCUGCUUUUCAGGUGUGAGAUGUGACAUCCUAAUGACUCAGUCUCCAUCCUUGCUGUCUGCAUCUCUGGGAGAUAGAGUCACCAUGACUUGCAAGGCCAGUCAAAGAAUUGGUAAUAUGUUAGCUUGGUAUCAGCAGAAACCAGGGGAAGCUCCUAAACGCCUGAUCUAUGAUGCAUCUGCUCUGGAAUAUCAGAUCCCAUCAAGGUUCAGUGAAAGUGAAUUUGGUAGGUUAUACACUCACAAUUAA